ACAGUCACAUCACGUUGAAAUACCGAUUCUCGUACCAUCACCGAAGUUAAGCAACAUUGAGCCUUGUCAGUACCUAGAUGGGUGACCGCUUAGGAAUACCGAGUGCUGUAAG